ACGCCGCAUGGGGGAUGGUUCGGCUAGAGCGCUGAAGAAGGUCGUGUCAAGCAGCGAUAUGCGUCGGGUAGGUGCAUGAAGCCUAUGAUCCGACGAUGACCUAAUGGGACUUCCUAUUCUUCGGAAUGGUCAGUAAUGACAGGGAACGCGGGGGAUUGAAGCAUCUUAGUACCCGCAGGAAAAGAAAUCAACAGAGAUACCGCUAGUAAAGGCGAUCGAAAACGGUACAGGGCAAACCGAAUCCCUUGGUGAAAACCCGGGGAGGUGUGGUGUUGUGGACUCUUUUACUCCUGGCGCAAUAAUAUUCGAAAUGUGCUGGAAAGCACUGCCAUAGAGGGUGAUAGCCCCUUAGAAGAAGGAUUGCAUGGAGAUUUUAGAGUAUCCGGAGUAGCGUGCGUUGGAUAUCGCGCGUGAAUCAGGGAGGCAUUCGCUUCCAACCCUAAAUACGUCUCUAGUCCGAUAGUGCAGUAGUAGUGUGAACGAAAACUGAAAAGUACCCUUAACGGGAGGUUAAAAGACCUGAAACCAUGCGGUCAAAGAUUUAUAUAGCAUCAAAGGGAAGAAGCCAUAAAUGGUGGACCAGUGUUAUAUUGUCCGUUUAGAAAAACGGGCCAGGGAGUUCUGGUCAUUGGCGAGGUUAACCACUUGAAGUGGGAAGCCACAGGGAAACCAAUUGUCCGCAGUUUUUAACGAGGGACAAGGUGUGCUCGCCUGGAGUCAAUGGCGCGGAUACCCGAAGCCGGUCGAUCUACGCCUGAGCAGAUUGAAGCCUCCUGAAAGGGAGGUGGAGGAUCGAACCAGUACUGAUGUGCAAAUCGUUUGGAUGACUUGGGUGUAGGGGUGAAAGGCCAAUCUAGGCCGGAAAUAGCUGGUUCCCCCUGAAACUAUUCGCAGAUAGACCUCGACUGAGGCAGAUCGUGAGGUAGAGCCACUGAUUGGAUGCUUAGGGGAAGAAAUUCCUCGGUGUUCUGUCAAACUCCGAAUAUGCGAUCACCGUAGACGUCGGGAGUGAGGCCAUCCGGGGUAAGCUCGAUGGCCGUGAGGGAAACAACCCAGACUAGAGUUAAGGUCCCUAAAUAUCGGUUAAGUGUAAUAUGAAAUGGCGUCGGCAGUCUAAAACAACCGGGAGGUGGGCUUAGAAGCAGCCAUCCUUCAAAGAUAGCGUAACAGCUCACCGGUCGAGAUUGUGGGCCCAAAAAAUGGACGGGGCUAAAACCGGUUACCGAUACUCUAGAACACAGCAAUGUGAUUUCGUAAGGGGGCGUGGUGCAUGGGCAGAAGUGGGGCCGUGAGGUCCUGUGGACCGUGUACCAAUGAGGAUCCUGGUGAGAGUAGCAGCAAAGUACGGUGAGAAUCCGUAUCGCCGCAGGGGCAAGGGUUCCUUGGCAAUGUUCGUCAGCCAAGGGUUAGUCGAUCCUAAGGUAGUUCUUAAUCGAGGCUAUCGAAAGGGAAACUGGUUAAUAUUCCAGUACUAGAACAGUCUUUGCCCAUACCUACGGAGUAGGAUAUCUGGAGUACACUUGUCUGUGUAUUCAAGCGUUUAAACUCAUGAAGAACCGUCAUGGUGAGAAGUGAGCGAAUGCGUGACGAGGAGGACGAAAGUCCUCUUCUGGAAAUUCCUAGUCCCCAUGAAAAGGGUAUGGUUACAACUGUUUUAUUCGUACCAAGAACCGACACAGGUGUCCCUAGGUGAGUAGCCUAAGGCGUGUUAGCAUAAUCUAGGCGAGGGAACUCGGCAAAUUAGCCCUGUAACUUCGGGAUAAAGGGUGCCAGUAGUGUGAGCUACUGGUCGCAGUGGCAAGAGAACUCCGACUGUUUAAUAAAAACAUAGGUCCCUGCUAGUUCGAAAGGAUGUGUAUAGGGGCCGAAGCCUGCCCAGUGUUGGCAUCUGAAAAUCUGUUUCAACGGAUCGAAGGACCAAUAAACGGCGGGGGUAACUAUGACCCUCUUAAGGUAGCGUAAUACCUUGUCGCUUAAUUGGCGACUUGCAUGAAGGCUCAACGAGAGUUCUACUGUCCCCGCCUAGACGCUAGUGAAAUCAAUCAGUCUGGUGCACAAUCCAGACCCCUCCAUCUGAAAGCGAAGACCCCAUGGAGUUUCACUGCAACCUGUUGUUGCGGUAAGAAUUGACAUGUGUAGGGUAGGCGGGAGUCGUUACCCAGGAAGGAGCGCCAGCUUCUCUCCGAGACUACGAUGAAACACCGCUCUUGUCGAUUUUUACCACUAACCUCUAAGGAGGAACAGCUAUAGGUAGGCAGUUCGGGUGGGGCGCCACGCCCUCAAAAAGAUAACAAGGGCGCCCAAAGGUUAGCUCAGGUAGGUCAGAAAUCUACCGAAGAAUGUAAGGGUAUAAGCUAGCUUGACUCGGAACCAGACAAUAGGGUUCGGAGAUAGGAAACUAAGGCCUAGCGAACCAAUCAACCUCCCGAGUGGGGGUGAUUGAUGUCAGAAAAAUUACCCUGGGGAUAAUUGAGUUGUCAGCAGCAAGAGUUCAUAUCGACCUGCUGGCUUGCUACUUCGCUGUCGGCUCUCCCUAUCCUGGUGGUGCAGCAGCUGCCAAGGGUGGGGUUGUUCGCCCAUUAAAAGGGAUCGUGAGCUGGGUUUAAAACGUCGUGAGACAGUUUUGUUGCUUUUUGAUGGAGGUGUUGGUGCCUGACGAGAAGGACCCUUUAGUACGAGAGGAACAGGGGUUCGCCGCCUCUAGUUUAUCAGUUGUCUGGCAAGGCAUUGCUGAGCAGCCACGCGGUAGUGGAUAAGAGCUGAAUGCAUCUAAGCUCGAAGUCAUCUUGAAAAAGAGGCACCCAUAGAACGCUCAUAAAUGAUGAGUUUGAUGGAAGUGGGGUGUAAGUACCGAGGUUCGCCGAGGUAUUCAGCCCGCACCGACCAAAGUUCUUUUGACG
rnacentral:rRNA from 1 species